GUCUUCUUGCCUGCUCUGUGUUGUAAAAUGAGGGUCCCUUACUGCAUUAUCAAGCGGAAGGCAAGACUGGGACGUCUAGUCCACCGGAAGACCUGCUCCACUGUCGCCUUCACAUAGGUGAACUCGGAAGACAAAGGCGCUUUGGCUAAGCUGGUGGACGCUAUCAGGACCAAUUACAAUGACAAAGACGAUGAGAUCCGCUAUCACUGGGGCGGCAAUGUCCUGGGUCCCAAGUCUGUGGCUCGCAUCGCCAAGCUUGAAAAGGCAAAGGCUAAAGAACUUGCCACUAAACUGGGUUAAAUGUACACUGUUGAGUUUUUUGUACAUAAAAAUAAUUAAAAUAAUACAAAUUUUACUUCAAAAAAAAA